GUUUACUAGUUGGCAUUCCCAGUUUUUUGGAAGCCAGAUCAUUUUCAUCAAGCUGUAAUUUGUCUUGUAAUUUAACUUCUUCUAAGUUGGGAUCUUCUGUUCCUUCUGUGACUGCCAACUCUGAGGUAACUAUGAUGUCAUCUCUACUUCCCUCAGAUAUCUCAGAAACAGAGGGCAAGUUCUUGGCUGAAUCUAGGCAGUCUUUUGACCACAUCUCUUGUUCCUCUGAUUGAAUUGAUCUCUGAAUGAUACAGUUGGUACUUGAUUCUUCCUCAUGCUCCAGGGUUUCAGCUUUACUGUCCUCUGAGAAAUGUGUGCCUUUAAAAUUCUCUCCUGUGCCUUCAUUCUCUGCAUUUUUUAUCUGUUAAAUGCGAAAAUGAAGUUGACAAUUAGAACUUGGAGGUUUUCAUCUACUUUAUUUUCUGUGAUUACUGAAGUUGGAUUAUCUACAUUGAGUCCUUCCCUCGUGCUCAGUUCUGCUUCCACGAUUUCUUUCCUUUCCUAUAUAAGUUGAGAGGCAAAAGUAAACAAGCAGACAUGGAAAGCAUCAUGCCAUGUACUGGAAUGAAUGAUAAGCAACUUCAAGUUCACCUCGUCUUCCUCUUUAGCACUGUUUUCUUCUAGUGUUUCUGUGCAGUUGUCCUUGAAUUCACCAGUUUCCAUCAUUAUCUGCUUGUCCGUAUCCUGGCUUUGAAGUCUUCGCUCGAGUAUCUUUUGACAAAAAGCGUCCAUCCAUGGAGAUAAAGUCAGUGGUAAAACAACUGGACCAAAACAGGACUUGAUCAGCUUGUGGAAUAUCAGCAGCUUCCGACUCCAUUUCUGAUGGAGCAGUCGAAAGGAAUGCUGAAUAAUGGUCUUCUUGAACUAUUUACA